rnacentral:rRNA from 1 species
GAUGAACGCUGGCGGCGUGCCUAAUACAUGCAAGUCGAGCGAACGGACGAGAAGCUUGCUUCUCUGAUGUUAGCGGCGGACGGGUGAGUAACACGUGGAUAACCUACCUAUAAGACUGGGAUAACUUCGGGAAACCGGAGCUAAUACCGGAUAAUAUUUUGAACCGCAUGGUUCAAAAGUGAAAGACGGUCUUGCUGUCACUUAUAGAUGGAUCCGCGCUGCAUUAGCUAGUUGGUAAGGUAACGGCUUACCAAGGCAACGAUGCAUAGACGACCUGAGAGGGUGAUCGGCCACACUGGAACUGAGACGCGGUCCAGACUCCUACGGGAGGCAGCAGUAGGGAAUCUUCCGCAAUGGGCGAAAGCCUGACGGAGCAACGCCGCGUGAGUGAUGAAGGUCUUCGGAUCGUAAAACUCUGUUAUUAGGGAAGAACAUAUGUGUAAGUAACUGUGCACAUCUUGACGGUACCUAAUCAGAAAGCCACGGCUAACUACGUG